UACGUAGGUGGCAAGCGUUGUCCGGAUUUACUGGGCGUAAAGGGCGUGCAGGCGGUCUGUUAAGUUCGGGGUGAAAGCUCCCGGCUCAACUGGGAGAGGUCCUUGGAUACUGGCAGACUUGAGGGAGGUAGAGGAGAGUGGAAUUCCCGGUGUAGUGGUGAUAUGCGUAGAUAUCGGGAGGAACACCAGUGGCGAAGGCGGCUCUCUGGGCCUUUCCUGACGCUGAGACGCGAAAGCGUGGGGAGCGAACCGG
rnacentral:rRNA from 1 species